rnacentral:rRNA from 1 species
GUCUGUGGCCAUGCCACCCUGAACGCGCCUGAUCUCAUCUAAUCUCAGAAGCGAAGCAGAGUCAGGCCUGGUUAGUACUCGGAUGGGUGGCCACCUAGGAAUACUGAGUGCUGUAGAUU